rnacentral:rRNA from 1 species
GACGUAGGGCGCGAGCGUUGUUCGGAGUUACUGGGCGUAAAGGGUGUGUAGGCGGUUGGUUAAGUUUGGUGUGAAAUCUCCCGGCUCAACUGGGAGGGUGCGCCGAAUACUGAAUGACUAGAGUGCGGGAGAGGUGAGUGGAAUUCCUGGUGUAGCGGUGAAAUGCGUAGAUAUCAGGAGGAACACCGGUGGUGUAGACGGCUCACUGGACCGUAACUGACGCUGAGACACGAAAGCGUGGGGAGCGAACAGG